ensembl:lncRNA
ACUGUGGGUAAACACAGCUGAGCAUCUUCUGUCCUUACUCAGCCUUUUUUUUUUUUUUUUCUUUAACCAUUCCAAGAUUAGGGUCCAACUGCCCGUGCUUAGUGGUUCAUUGGAGACCACGGAGAAUAGGGUGGGAGCUGCAAAUAUGGAACCUCUGUGGACUUUUAGAGCUAGACAGAAAUUAUGAUUCUAGAAUAUUAUACAACUUCAGUAUUUCUGAAAACUCCUACAGGUGAAAUGUCAAGGUUUUUCUUUGGAAUAUUCAUGGAAAUAGCUCUUAUUUGAGUGAAAACACGAACAUGUACACACCCACACACUUGCACACAAGCAUGCACACUCACACUCUUUCCUACAGAAAUGUGGAUGGCUUAUUUGGAAAUGAAGAAGGAGGUCAGGAGGGGCUGUUGCUUUCUUUAUGAUACAGGUGUGUGUGUGUGUGUGUGUGUGUGUGAUUAAGGAUAUUGUGUUUUUGCCAUUUCACACUUGUAUACAACACACUAGGAUUCCAGUCACUUCCCACUACCAUCUAUCUUCCCUCUCCCACUCUAGUCCACUCCUUUCUCUUUCUUGCACUCCCUACUUUAAUGUCUCCAUGUUUGUGAUAAUUCUGGUGGAGAUAGGGUGAUGCCAAUCACUGGAAAGUGUAGUGUAUACAAUGAAGUAUGGGACAUAAUACUGUCUCAGAGCAAUAAACAUGUGCCAGCAUACACAUUUACCAUCUUUUAUAGUUAUUUUCAUCAUAAAACAGUCAGAAGACAGCAGUGUUAUCCAUUUUGUUUAUUACAUCUGAGUUGCAUUAAGAGGCCAGAUCCAGUGAUGAAUCUAAGUUUGUCUAAAUCCACACUUUGACAUUCACACUAGGAUAAAAUAGUCUAGUGACUCAUUUUCCUGAGGCUAUUAUCAUUGUUAAGUGACAAACAGGAAAUGUAAGUAACACACAGAAAUAUUGAAUCUUCUUAAACAUUAGAUUCUUGUCUACAAAACAACAGUGACUUUACCCCCCUUGCAGUACUGCUACCUAGUGUAGUGGGGACACCUUGAGAAGUUCCACCAUCUUGCUAUAAUUAUGCUAUGUUUUGUUGUUACAAUCUUUACUAUUAUCUCCAGUCAUCCACCUAGACUUUGACACUAUAUACUUUUUACAUUUGGCAUUUUGAGUGUACCUUUGUAGCUUAGGGAAGAGCCCUAACUCUAAAGCUGUCCUCAUUUGUAUCCAUAAGUGCCACAGGUUGUAUGUCAUUAUCUGCUAUCACACAUAGUUUCUCUUGAAGAUUGUUUUGAGGUGAGUCUAAAUUUGGGGGGGGGGCAGACUUCGAGUUUCUUCCCCUCACUCUGCUGUUUCCUAUCUCCCAACUAUGCAGAGCACAGAAAAGAGUGACAGGGACUGAGAGCAUGGAAAGGAAAUUGGAAAGUGAUGCCAAAAAGCAGAUGAGUGUAGGGGAACAAUAGAUGUGUGAAACCCUUCAUGUCACCACCAAAGAGGACUCUGAGAUGUGGCCUUUCUUUGUGAAUGAAGGUGGUGCCAUGUGCUUGGGUGAGGGGAAGCCAUAGGUGCCAGGCAAAUGGAUGGAACUAGAAGAAACCAUCCUGAGAUAACCCAUACAGAAAGACAAACAUGGGAUUACUCACUCCUAAGUGGAUAUUAGACAUAGAGCGAAAGAUAACCAGUCUACAAUCCACAACCCCAGAGAAGGUUGCUGUCCUGUGGGUCGGGACAACUACAGUGUUCUUUGACAAACGUUGUCUUACUAUCUAUUGGCACAGUGGCGGAUACCUACAAUUUCCUGGGAGAAGUUCUGUUUCUAUAUCAAGGAAUCUGGUUUGAUAAAAUGUCUCCAGAACUCAUUUUUACUCCACCCACUUUUGAGCAUAUCUUGCAUGUUCACCCCCUCCUGCCUGGGCCAAGGUGAGCUCACAGAUGGUCCUCCACAUAAUGCCAGAACCUGCAUCAGUUCCUGAAACUCACCAUUGCAACCUGCCUUCUCUGCUUCCUUGAUGAACAGGCGCCUGAGGUCUAAGGAUGGCAGUUAACUGAAUGCUUCUUCACUCAUACCUCUCACUGAUUGUGAGCCCACCCAACUCCUGACUCUCCCCCUCCCCCACAUCAUCCCUUGUCAUCAGGAAGAAGCCAGACAUGAAGCGGUGUCCAUAUACCUAAGAGUCUGGAAUGUUCUGGUGGAAGCUCACUCUACCUCUGGCAUCCAUACAUCCAAAGAGUCUGGAAUAUUAUGGUGGAAGUUCCACCCCUCAUUUACCUCCCUCCAACCCUGCAGCAUCUCAGAAAGCCUGCCAAAUGAUGGCCCCUCCCCCAGAGAAGCUCAAGACCACUCCCACAGAGUAUUUAAACUGCCCCCCAGAAAAUAGACUCGUGGUUUCCCAGGCUCUGUUUCCGGUCUCCUCUCUGGGAGACUGGAAGGCCAUCCAGGAACAUUGUAUCCAUUAAAUGUGGGCUUUUUCUAAUUCAGUGUGAUUUGGAUUGAUAUGUCAAUGGAGAGAGGCUUAUCUAUCAGGGUGUAGCAAUUUUUCAGCCUUUGUGAUCAGUUGUGAGUCUGAUUAAACAAACUGUACAAC